rnacentral:rRNA from 1 species
UACAGAGGGUGCAAGCGUUAAUCGGAAUUACUGGGCGUAAAGCGUGCGCAGGCGGUUAUGUAAGACAGGUGUGAAAUCCCAGGGCUCAACCUUGGAGCUGCAUUUGUGACUGCAUAGCUAGAGUACGGUAGAGGGGGAUGGAAUUCCGCGUGUAGCAGUGAAAUGCGUAGAUAUGCGGAGGAACACCGAUGGCGAAGGCAAUCCCCUGGACCUGUACUGACGCUCAUGCACGAAAGCGUGGGGAGCAAACAGG